rnacentral:rRNA from 1 species
GCCUCUUGCCAUCGGAUGUGCCCAGAUGGGAUUAGCUUGUUGGUGGGGUAACGGCUCACCAAGGCGACGAUCCCUAGCUGGUCUGAGAGGAUGACCAGCCACACUGGAACUGAGACACGGUCCAGACUCCUACGGGAGGCAGCAGUGGGGAAUAUUGCACAAUGGGCGCAAGCCUGAUGCAGCCAUGCCGCGUGUAUGAAGAAGGCCUUCGGGUUGUAAAGUACUUUCAGCGGGGAGGAAGGGAGUAAAGUUAAUACCUUUGCUCAUUGACGUUACCCGCAGAAGAAGCACCGGCUAACUCCGUGCCAGCAGCCGCGGUAAUACGGAGGGUGCAAGCGUUAAUCGGAAUUACUGGGCGUAAAGCGCACGCAGGCGGUUUGUUAAGUCAGAUGUGAAAUCCCCGGGCUCAACCUGGGAACUGCAUCUGAUACUGGCAAGCUUGAGUCUCGUAGAGGGGGGUAGAAUUCCAGGUGUAGCGGUGAAAUGCGUAGAGAUCUGGAGGAAUACCGGUGGCGAAGGCGGCCCCCUGGACGAAGACUGACGCUCAGGUGCGAAAGCGUGGGGAGCAAACAGGAUUAGAUACCCUGGUAGUCCACGCCGUAAACGAUGUCGACUUGGAGGUUGUGCCCUUGAGGCGUGGCUUCCGGAGCUAACGCGUUAAGUCGACCGCCUGGGGAGUACGGCCGCAAGGUUAAAACUCAAAUGAAUUGACGGGGGCCCGCACAAGCGGUGGAGCAUGUGGUUUAAUUCGAUGCAACGCGAAGAACCUUACCUGGUCUUGACAUCCACGGAAGUUUUCAGAGAUGAGAAUGUGCCUUCGGGAACCGUGAGACAGGUGCUGCAUGGCUGUCGUCAGCUCGUGUUGUGAAAUGUUGGGUUAAGUCCCGCAACGAGCGCAACCCUUAUCCUUUGUUGCCAGCGGUCCGGCCGGGAACUCAAAGGAGACUGCCAGUGAUAAACUGGAGGAAGGUGGGGAUGACGUCAAGUCAUCAUGGCCCUUACGACCAGGGCUACACACGUGCUACAAUGGCGCAUACAAAGAGAAGCGACCUCGCGAGAGCAAGCGGACCUCAUAAAGUGCGUCGUAGUCCGGAUUGGAGUCUGCAACUCGACUCCAUGAAGUCGGAAUCGCUAGUAAUCGUGGAUCAGAAUGCCACGGUGAAUACGUUCCCGGGCCUUGUACACACCGCCCGUCACACCAUGGGAGUGGGUUGCAAAAGAAGUAGGUAGCUUAACCUUCGGGAGGGCGCUUACCACUUUGUGAUUCAUGACUGGGGUGAAGUCGUAACAAGGUAACCGUAGGGGAACCUGCGGUUGGAUCACCUCCUUACCUUAAAGAAGC